UACGUAGGGUGCAAGCGUUAAUCGGAAUUACUGGGCGUAAAGCGUGCGCAGGCGGUUUUGUAAGUUUGUCGUGAAAUCCCCGGGCUCAACCUGGGAAUGGCGAUGAAGACUGCAAGGCUAGAAUCUGGCAGAGGGGGGUAGAAUUCCACGUGUAGCAGUGAAAUGCGUAGAGAUGUGGAGGAACACCGAUGGCGAAGGCAGCCCCCUGGGU
rnacentral:rRNA from 1 species